GAUGAAGAACGUAGCGAAAUGCGAUAAGUAAUGUGAAUUGCAGAAUUCAGUGAAUCAUCGAAUCUUUGAACGCACAUUGCGCCCCCUGGUAUUCCGGGGGGCAUGCCUGUUCGAGCGUCAUUUCACCACUCAAGCCUCGCUUGGUAUUGGGCAACGCGGUCCGUCGCGUGCCUCAAAUCGACCGGCUGGGUCUUCUGUCCCCUAAGCGUUGUGGAAACUAUUCGCUAAAGGGUGUUCGGGAGGCUACGCCGUAAAACAACCCCAUUUCUAAGGUUGACCUCGGAUCAGGUAGGGAUACCCGCUGAACUUAAGCAUAUCAAUAAGCGGAGGA
rnacentral:misc_RNA from 1 species